ensembl:snoRNA
GCUGUUCAGUGAUGAGGCCUGGAAUGUGCACUGGGCACAGUGCCCAAGACAGACUGGGGACCCAUUCUUGUUGCCUUGCUUCUGAGAACAGC